rnacentral:rRNA from 1 species
UACGAAGGGGGCUAGCGUUGCUCCGAAUCACUGGGCGUAAAGGGUGCGUAGGCGGGUCUUUAAGUCAGGGGGGAAAUCCUGGAGCUCAACUCCAGAACUGCCUUUGAUACUGAGGAUCUUGAGUUCGGGAGAGGUGAGUGGAACUGCGAGUGUAGAGGUGAAAUUCGUAGAUAUUCGCAAGAACACCAGUGGCGAAGGCGGCUCACUGGCCCGAUACUGACGCUGAGGCACGAAAGCGUGGGGAGCAAACAGG